rnacentral:rRNA from 1 species
CUCGUAGGCUGUUCGGUCAGUCAGAUGUGAAAGCCCUCGGCUUAACCGGGGAACUGCAUUUGAUACUGCCAGACUUGAGUGUCGGAGAGGGUGGCGGAAUUCCGGGUGUAGGAGUGAAAUCCGUAGAUAUCCGGAGGAACACCAGUGGCGAAGGCGGCCACCUGGACGACAACUGGCGCUGAGGAGCGAAAGCGUGGGGAGCAAACAG